GUGAGGAAUUUUCCGCAAUGGGCGAAAGCCUGACGGAGCAAUGCCGCGUGAAGGAUGAAGGCCUAUGGGUUGUAAACUUCUUUUCUCAGAAAAGAAUUAUGACGGUAUCUGAGGAAUAAGCAUCGGCUAACUCUGUGCCAGCAGCCGCGGUAAGACAGAGGAUGCAAGCGUUAUCCGGAAUGAUUGGGCGUAAAGCGUCUGUAGGUUGUUUAAAAAGUAUUCUGUCAAAGAUUAGGGCUUAACCCUAGAUAGGCAGAAUAAACUUUUAAGCUAGAGUUUGGUAGAGGCAGAGGGAAUUCCCAGUGGAGCGGUGAAAUGCGUAGAUAUCGGGAGGAACACCAAAGGCGAAGGCACUCUGCUGGGCCAAUACUAACACUGAGAGACGAAAGCGAGGGGAGCAAAUGGGAUUAGAUACCCGAGUAGUCC
rnacentral:rRNA from 1 species